GACGAACGCUGGCGGCGUGCUUAACACAUGCAAGUCGAACGGAAAGGCCCUGCUUUUGGGGGGUGCUCGAGUGGCGAACGGGUGAGUAACACGUGAGUAACCUGCCCUUGACUUUGGGAUAACUUCAGGAAACGGGGGCUAAUACCGGAUAGGAGCUCCUGCUGCAGGGGGGGGGUUGGAAAGUUUCGGCGGUUGGGGAUGGACUCGCGGCUUAUCAGCUUGUUGGUGGGGUAGUGGCUUACCAAGGCUUUGACGGGUAGCCGGCCUGAGAGGGUGACCGGCCACAUUGGGACUGAGAUACGGCCCAGACUCCUACGGGAGGCAGCAGUGGGGAAUAUUGCACAAUGGGCGGAAGCCUGAUGCAGCAACGCCGCGUGCGGGAUGACGGCCUUCGGGUUGUAAACCGCUUUCGCCUGUGACGAAGCGUGAGUGACGGUAAUGGGUAAAGAAGCACCGGCUAACUACGUG
rnacentral:rRNA from 1 species